rnacentral:rRNA from 1 species
CAGUCGCCGCGGUAAUACGUAGGGUCCGAGCGUUGUCCGGAAUUAUUGGGCGUAAAGAGCUCGUAGGCGGUUCGUCGCGUCUGCCGUGAAAUCCUCAGGCUCAACCUGAGGCGUGCGGUGGGUACGGGCGGACUAGAGUGCGGUAGGGGAGAAUGGAACUCCUGGUGUAGCGGUGGAAUGCGCAGAUAUCAGGAAGAACACCGAUGGCGAAGGCAGUUCUCUGGGCCGUAACUUACGCUGAGGAGCGAAAGCGUGGGGAGCGAACAGGAUUAGAUACCCCCGUAGUCCCUGUCUCUUAUAC